rnacentral:rRNA from 1 species
GGGUGUGUUAUUAGCGAAGAGGAAACACCCGAUCCCAUCCCGAACUCGGAAGUUAAGCUCUUCAGCGCCGAAGGUAGUGCCAGGGAAGCUUGGUGUGAGAAAAGGUCAAUGCACCCUCUUAUUUUAUAAAAA